GUGCUCAUUUUGGUAGCACAUACACUAAAAUCGGAAUGAUACAGAGAUUAGCAUAGCUCCUGCCCAAAGAUAGCAAGUACAUUUGUGAAGCGUUCCAUAAUUUU
ensembl:snRNA U6 U6 spliceosomal RNA